rnacentral:snRNA from 1 species
GAUCGAUACUUUUGUAAUGA